AGGGUUUAUAGUUGUGCUUUGGAGGAUAAACAGGGAAAAACAGGUCUGUGCCACUUGUCAGGCUGGAAGUCCUACCAAAAUGUUUUUGCUGAAAACUUAGAAAUUGACCUCUGAAAAGAUUUCACAAACGUGAUUAUAGCUGGUUCUUUUAGUCUCUAAAUUGAAGAAACUUUUCUUCCCAUCAAGGUCAGUGGUAACUUGAGCCUCAAACCACAGGAAAGCUGACUAAUGGAUGAAAUCUUCAGGUGGACACUCCCUACCACAGCAAAAGCUGAGAAGAACAAGUUGACUCCUGUCUUUCUUCGCAAGGGGACAGGGCAAGCAGAACAUCUUCUCAAGGGCUCACCAGAAAUUUUCUUCACUGGAUCAGAAGAACGAAGUUUCAGACAGUGAAAGGCAGAAAGUGCCUGUGUCCUGAAGAUUUUAGUAAGAAAUCAUCCAUUCACUCCCCGCAUAGGCACCUGAAAAGCAGAUGAAACCAUUGAACAAUGGGGUGGCCCCACUUGUAAUUAUGUAUUUUACUUAUUAGUCAGCAUGCAAUGUGUGCAGAUUUCUUACGAGUGUGGAUAAAGAAAAUAAGACUGUAUACUUUACCUAGACAUUUAUAAAGUAUAACCUUGUGAGCAAAAAGUAAAAUUAUUUAAAAGAAUAGAGAGUCUGAAUAUGUGUAGCAUUUAAGAAGCAU